CCUGCCACUUCUUGGAAAGUUGAGCUAGCUUCCUGGAGCUGAUCAUGGUUGCUUGUUUUGUUUCAAGGAGAUGGGCUGUGACUCUGAGAUGGAAUAAUCAGAGAAAAAAGUCGGUCUGUGUGUGUGUGUUGAUGGUUUGUUCCAUGAUCAUAUAUUUAUAGUGGGCAGGUCUGGUGGGAAAUCUGCAUCUUCGUUUCCACAACUAUCACAGAUAGCAAAUCGUCAGGGGACAAGACCAUGAACUCCCUUGGUGGGAUGUUCCUAUUUGUACGUGGUUGCAACUUUGAAGGACUGAAUGCAUAGGACCACUGCCUCUCACACUGUCAGGAACCUGACCUUGGGCAACGCCAGUGACUUUAGUCCCACCUCGGAUAUGGGAGGAGGCUAGGAGCUCCUUAUAAGGGAGAGUGCCACACUCCCUUCAGGCCGUCUUUUGGGAUGUUGUGGGCUUUCUGCUUAUAGUGGAGUGUCCGAUGCGCACCGGAAACGUGGGUGUCAGGAACCUGACCUUGGGCAACGCCAGUGACUUUAGUCCCACCUCGGAUAUGGGAGGAGGCUAGGAGCUCCUUAUAAGGGAGAGUGCGACACUCCCUUCAGGCCGGUCUUUUGGGAUGUUGUGGGCUUUCUGCUUAUAGUGGAGUGUCCGAUGCGCACCGAAAACGUCCGAGCAUAUGCCGAUGGACCGGGAGCUGGGCCUGGGUUGCUAACACACACAUGGUGGAGCCAUCUUUGAUAGCUUGGUACGUGACUGAGAACCACAGUGGGUUGAGCUGUAAAGAUAGCUGUACGAGACACUAUCUUGUUUACUGAGAAUUGUGCUUGAAGCAACAUAUCUUGGAUAAUAAAAAUAUUUACCAACUUGCUGCCCCUUCCGUGCGUUAUUAUGCAGCUUUUGUUUGUCCGUUAAUUUUGUAUUCCACCUGGCUCAAGGAGAAUCCAAAACUGAGGUGCUAUGUGAUUGGCUCAAGAUGAUUCAGCUAUCAUCACAUUUUCUAGAACGGUGCAGUGUGUAAUAUAGAAUUGUGCCAACAGUUCCGUGUGAUUUUGUUUUGACACCAGUUAGCAAAGCAGCAAGGCCAUCAUAAAUGUGGUCAUGCGAUGUUGGCUAUAACAGAGGCAAUGAUUUGAACUGGAUAUCGGUGGGUCGACAUGCAGUUAGUGCAUCGGGGUCCUUGUGGAGGCCAAAGUGGUUAGAUGAUUUGCGACGUACGUAGUACGAUAGGCAGUGGUGCCAUGUUGGGCAGAAGCAUUAUUCAGACAAUUACUCAAGUUUGAGCUUUCGUCAACACGGAGGGGACAUUUAGGACAGCGUCAGCUGGAGAGCCACCAUCAAGUGGGUUCCUUGGGAUGUUUCGUGCGACCUUCCGAAGCUUACAACAUGUCCAUGGCCGUGGUACUGAGUACUGAUCCGUGCGGUAGCUGAAAGACAUGAGGGCGGGGGAGCAUUGUAGGGCCUAGAGAGUUAAGAAGCAGCUUCCUUUGUUACGCAUUAAUUUGGUUAGGAAGGUCUUGGUUGGUUCAAGCAGCUUGGUGGACAAUUCAAUACGGCUGUUGUACCUUGUGGCCCGGCCAAAUUGAUUUCCAGCACCAAUUCUGUUAGGAAGGUCUUGGUUGUGACGCGGUGCCCUCAUUUCCUUGCUUCUUCCUGCCAUCCCUAACAGGCCUACAGAAAUAGUGCAGCUAACCUGGUUAUCAUCUCAACCAAAUUCGUGGACAACUGGAGAUCAUUUGGUACUAGCGCCAAUUCUUUUGUCAAUCGUUUGAUCUCAUUUUGUGCUGAAACAGGCUUCUUGAUGGCAUCUAGUGACGCACUUAGCGAAUUCGUGAGUUGGCAUAUAUAGUUUGUACUUUCUUACGCUUUAUUUUGCAUCGGAAUUCGAGAUUAAAUCAUAUGCGAAGACUGGACGUCCAGAUGCAGCAGUCAGAAUGAUGAAAAAAGCUUGUUAUGGCUCUUGUUUCGUAAUGUACUUCCAUUUCUGCUCUUUGCUUUUGUGUCUAAACUUUUGGCUUGAAGGCCAAGAUUCUGUUGAACCUGCUGUGGCUGGUUUCAUUCCAACAAUAUGAGACCCAGCAGGCUACUCCCUGAUGAUCUAAAAAUAUAUAGAUAUUAAAGAUAAAUUUCCCGUCUUUAUAAUUUUUCCUUUUGAGAAACUCACAGUGGUUUUCAUUCAUUUCCGAGCAGGUUACGGUCAUGUAAAGCAGAAUUACGCUGAAGCAGCUGUGUGGUGACGGAGGAUUUCCCAUGGCUGCAGGCUAUUACCUAUUAGACAGCAUGUCUGUUCGGUGUAAGCUGGGGAGGGGUCUGAUUCUGGGAGAAUCUUGCAAAAGAACUGGCCCAUGAUCCUUUUACACAUUGAUAUGCUGACGUGAUAGUAAUCACAUGAGCCAUGAACUAAGAUGAUUGACAGCUCUGGAGCACACAUCUGAUCAGCAGAGCAUACAGGUGCAACCUUGCAAGCACACUCUUGACCAAAUACUGCUCCUGGAUGCAAAGGUAUUUUCGUUACCCAUUAAUACCUAGCUAGCCAGGCCGACUCGACCGACGUCGGCGCUCACCGGCGGAAUCAAUCAUUGGUGAUCUCCGGUGGAUUUAAUCCACAAGAUACAUCAGCGUGCAGCUCAUCUUAUGGCCAUCGAAGCACAUCCUACUGAGAGCACUCAACCGGCUGAUGGAUCAGAGAGCACGGCACAACCGGACUUGAGGUUGAUUGAAAUCUAAGAUCUGAAAUAAGAAUAUACGGUCCCUUUGAGGAGAUGGGUCUCAUCGUUCGCUGACAUUAAUUCUGUGAACGGAAGAAUAUUUGUGUGGUCUAUGUUUGUCACUGGAGGCAUGCGGCUUAGGGCGUCUAGAACGGAAGAAUCAAUUCAGUGGCUUCUGGUGGUCAGUUGAGGGUGGCAACAUCAUGCGUGGUGUGCUUGUCGAUCUCCAACGUAUUCUCACGGUCAUAUGGCCAGCGGCACCCAGCUAGCCGUAAACUGAUUACUGGCAUACUUCUUAAUUACUUCUGCUAGUGGAUAAAUGAUCAAAUGUACCCAGCUGUUGUUUCGUCUUGGGAAAUUGGUAUACCUAGCAAAAGGAACAGUAGCUCCGGUUGCUAAUUUACUGUGUAGAAACUACUAAUUUUAUUAAAGCUAGAGGAUCCUACCUGUUUAGUUGUCGAAGAGUACACUACCUUGCUUCCUUUAUGUUAGUAUCAGUUUACUGAACUUGCUGCUUUAAUUUUCUAUUUGUAAAAGGGCAUAUGCACUUCCCUCUUCAACGAGUGCUUCAUUUUGCUUUGCAGAAGCCUUAUGUG